rnacentral:rRNA from 1 species
UACGUAGGGGGCAAGCGUUGUCCGGAUUUAUUGGGCGUAAAGAGCGUGUAGGCGGCUUGGUAGGUCUCGCGUCAAAACCUGAGGCUCAACCUCAGUUCGCGUGGGAAACCACCUAGCUAGAGUCCGGAAGAGGAGAACGGAAUUCCCAGUGUAGCGGUGAAAUGCGCAGAUAUUGGGAAGAACACCAGUGGCGAAGGCGGUUCUCUGGGACGGUACUGACGCUGAGACGCGAAAGCGUGGGGAGCGAACGAG